ACCUGCGGAAGGAUCAUUAUUGAAAUAAACUUGGUGUGGGUUGCAGCUGGCCUUUCUUGGGCAUGUGCUCGCCUUCAUCAUCUUUAUAUUUCCACCUGUGCACCUUCUGUAGACAAGAAAGAAAAAGGAAUUUUUGUGGUGCCAUUUGGCCCGUUUAUUCCUUGUGUAUUCCUUGUCUAUGUUUUUAUAUACUCCAAAAAUGUAACAGAAUGUUAAUCUAUGGGACUUUUGUGCCUAUAAACAAAAAAAAUAUAUACAACUUUCAGCAACGGAUCUCUUGGCUCUCGCAUCGAUGAAGAACGCAGCGAAAUGCGAUAAGUAAUGUGAAUUGCAGAAUUCAGUGAAUCAUCGAAUCUUUGAACGCACCUUGCGCUCCUUGGUAUUCCGAGGAGCAUGCCUGUUUGAGUGUCAUUAAAUUCUCAAAAGCUUUGAUAGUAUUAUCAAAUGGUUUUUGGAUGUGAGGGUUUGUUGGCGAAAGUCAACUCCCUUGAAAUGCAUUAGCUUGGUUGACUAGACUUUGUCUAUUGGUGUGAUAAUUAUCUAUGCCAUUGGAUUGUCUGCUUGUUGAACUGCUUCUAAUUGUCCCUUUGGGGACUAUAUUAAAUGACCAUUUGACCUCAAAUCAGGUAGGACUACCCGCUGAACUUAAGCAUAUCAAUAAGCGGAGGAAAAGAAACUAACAAGGAUUCCCCUAGUAACUGCGAGUGAAGAGGGAAAAGCUCAAAUUUAAAAUCUGGCUUCCUUAGGUUGUCCGAGUUGUAAUCUAGAGA
rnacentral:rRNA from 1 species